rnacentral:rRNA from 1 species
AUUGAACGCUGGCGGCAUGCCUUACCCAUGCAAGUCGAACGGUAACAGGUCUUCGGAUGCUGACGAGUGGCGAACGGGUGAGUAAUACAUCGGAACGUGCCUAGUAGUGGGGGAUAACUACUCGAAAGAGUGGCUAAUACCGCAUGAGAUCUACGGAUGAAAGCAGGGGAUCGCAAGACCUUGUGCUACUAGAGCGGCCGAUGGCAGAUUAGGUAGUUGGUGGGAUAAAAGCUUACCAAGCCGACGAUCUGUAGCUGGUCUGAGAGGACGAUCAGCCACACUGGGACUGAGACACGGCCCAGACUCCUACGGGAGGCAGCAGUGGGGAAUUUUGGACAAUGGGCGAAAGCCUGAUCCAGCAAUGCCGCGUGCAGGAUGAAGGCCUUCGGGUUGUAAACUGCUUUUGUACGGAACGAAAAGCUCUGGGUUAAUACCCUGGGGUCAUGACGGUACCGUAAGAAUAAGCAACGGCUAACUACGUGCCAGCCGCCGCGGUAAGAC